CCUGAAAGGAACUGUUGUCUGUGGCAGGCAAUUCACUGAGAAAAGCUCCUCAGAUGUGGCUCUCAGCGCAGCUGAAGCUGCAGAGCGUGAGGUUUGCCAUGUUUCUCCUGCAACACGUGGGAGAAUCCAGAGAACAUGACAAUUGAUACAGCUCCCUGAGAAGAGAUUCAGCAUAUGGAAAGCAAAAGGCAUAGACUGCUGUUUAAUCAGAACAGUUGCUUUCUGAUCUCCUGAGCCCCCAGGCUGUCUCUGGGCAUUCCAAUCUGAAACCAGCAAGAUGGAUUUACCCCAUAGCGACUUUCCCACUGAGUCAAAGCAGCACUGGAGAAGCAGCAGCCACUCUUACCAGAAACUGUGAAGAUUCCAGUCAGACUGAAACUGGUCAUUCAGCAGGUGAUAUCUCCAAGCCACUCCUUUGGAAUCCAUCUCAUGCUCUAACCGACACCAACGGAGCAGGACUGUACAUACAAAUGACACCUUUGUCCCACUGCCAGGCACACCUAUCCAGUAGUAUCAGCCUGGGCCUGUUUCAGACACUGUAUCAUAUCAUAAUCUGACUCUGAAUCCGUCCUGCAUUGCAAGAGCCGAGUCAGCUUCUCUGGCGAAAGAAAAAAAGCUCAAGAAACAGGUUCAACUGACAUGAUCAGUUGCCGCAAAGAAUUUUCCUUCAGGCACAGGUGUUCUUAGACUUCUGGGCCACCUUUUAAUAGUGAGACUGUCUCCUGGGCACACCUCCUCUCCCAUUCAUGAUUAUAUAACUGGAGCUCAAUGAGCAACG